rnacentral:rRNA from 1 species
AUUGAACGCUGGCGGCAGGCCUAACACAUGCAAGUCGAACGAGUGGCGGACGGGUGAGUAAUGCCUGGGAAUCUGGCUGAUGGAGGGGGAUAACUACGGGAAACGGUAGCUAAUACCGCAUACCAUCGGAUGAGCCCAAGUGGGAUUAGGUAGUAGGUGGGGUAAAGGCUCACCAAGGCGACGAUCCCUAGCUGGUCUGAGAGGAUGACCAGCCACACUGGGACUGAGACACGGCCCAGACUCCUACGGGAGGCAGCAGUGGGGAAUAUUGCACAAUGGGGGCAACCCUGAUGCAGCCAUGCCGCGUGGAUGAAGAAGGCCUUCGGGUUGUAAAGUACUUUCAGCGGCGAGGCGUUAACCGCAGAAGAAGCACCGGCUAACUCCGUGCCAGCCGCCGCGGUAAUUC